AGAGUUUGAUCCUGGCUCAGGGUGAACGCUGGCGGUGUGCAUUAAGCAUGCAAGUGGAACGGUCCCGUUUCGGCGGGACAGUCGCGAACGGCUGAGUAACGCGUAGGAAUCUACCUCUUGGUGGGGAAUAGCCCCGCGAAAGCGGGGUUAAUACCGCAUAAGAUCAGAUAUCGCAUCUGCGAUGUCUGAUGAAAGGAUGUAACUAUUCGCCGAGAGAGGAGCCUGCGUACCAUCAGUUUGUUGGUAGGGUAACGGCCUACCAAGACUAUGACGGUUAGGGGGCGUGAGAGCGUGGCCCCCCAGAAUGGCACUGAGACACGGGCCAUACACCUACGGGUGGCAGCAACUGGGAAUCGUGCGCAAUGGACGAAAGUCUGACGCCGCGACACCGCGUGAAGGAUGAAGGCCUUCGGGUCGUAAACUUCUUUUGCCAUAGGUGAGAGUCUAUGGCGAAUAAGCACCCGCUAACUUCAUGCCAGCAGCUGCGGUAAUACGGAGGGUGCAAGCGUCACCCGGAUUUAUUGGGCGUAAAGCGUUCGCAGGCGUCUUGGUAAGUUACAUUUCAAAGACUGGGGCUCAACCUCGGGAAGGGAUGUAAUACUGCCAGGAUAGAAAGAUCUCGGGGCUACUAGAACUACCGGUGUAGGGGUGAAAUCCGUUGAUAUCGGUAGGAAUUCCAAGGGCGAAGGCGGGUAGCUAGGGAUACUUUGACGCUCAGGGACGUAAGCUAGGGUAGCGAAAGGGAUUAGAGACCCCUGUAGUCCUAGCCGUAAACGAUGCUCGCUAGCCCCUGGUUCCGAUUUAUCGGAGUCAUGGGCGUAAGCUAACGCGUGAAGCGAGCCGCCUGGGGAGUACGCGCGCAAGCGUAAAACUCAAAGGAAUUGACGGGGACCUGCACAACCAGUGGAGCAUGUGGUUUAAUUCGAAACGAACCGAAGAACCUUACCCGGGUUUGACAUGUAAUUCUUAAUGCCGCCUAGAGAUAGGUUGGAAUGUCAACUUUGUUGACAGGGAUUACACAGGUGUUGCAUGGCCGUCGUCAGCUCGUGCCGUGGGGUGUUCCCUUAAGUGGGGUAACGAGCGCAACCCCUGUCCCGAGUUAAAUAUUCUCGGGAGACUGGUCCGAUUUUCGGACAGGAAGCGGGGACGACGUCAGGUCAGCAUGGCCCUUAUAUCCGGGGCUACACACAUGCUACAAUGGGGCCGACAAUGGGUUGCCAAGCGGAAACGUGGAGCUAAUCCCAUCAAACGGCCUCUCAGUGGGGAUUGAGGGCUGCAACUCGCCCUCAUGAACGUGGAAUUGGUAGUAAUCGCGGAUCAGCUAUGCCGCGGUGAAUACGUUCUCAGGUCUUGUACACACCGCCCGUCAAGUCAGCAAAGUUGGGGGCACCCGAAUCCCGCAUGUUGCGGGAGAAGGUGAAUCCAGCGAUGAGGAUUAAGUCGUAACAAGGUAACC
rnacentral:rRNA from 1 species